UACGUAGGGGCCGAGCGUUGUCCGGAGUUAUUGGGCGUAAAGCGCGCGCAGGCGGCCUCGCGCGCCCGACGUGAAAGCCCCCGGCUUAACCGGGGAGGGUCGUUGGGGACGGCGGGGCUUGAGGGCGGGAGAGGGUGGUGGAAUUCCCGGUGUAGUGGUGAAAUGCGCAGAUAUCAGGAGGAACACCGGUGGCGAAGGCGGGUCUCUGGGCCGAUACUGACGCUGAGGAGCGAAAGCGUGGGGAGCGAACAGG
rnacentral:rRNA from 1 species